GGAGAAACACUGGUACAGAGCACCUUCCUUCCCAGCCUCUGUGUCCCUGAUGUGAUCAUUCUUCCCAAGCCAUGGGGAGGAUGUGGGCUGGGCUUGGCUGAGCUCUUCAGCAAGUAACAGCAUCUUUUUUUUUUACAGGAGGAGCUGUGGAAGAUUCAGGAGAAGCUGGAGUGCUACUUUGGGUCUCUGGUGGGGUCCAAUGUUUACAUCCCUCCCCAGGGAUCCCAGGGCCUUCCUCCUCACUAUGAUGAUGUUGAGGUGUUUAUCCUUCAGCUGGAAGGUGAGAAACACUGGCGGCUCUAUAAACCAAGGGUGCCUUUAGCUCGGGAAUAUGAUGUGGAAUCAGAAGAUAGGAUUGGGAAUCCCACACGUGAGUUCAUAUUAAAGCCAGGUGACUUACUGUACUUCCCAAGAGGGACCAUCCACCAAGCUGACACUCCUCUUGGGACCUCCCAUUCCACACACGUGACCAUCAGUACCUACCAAAACAA